rnacentral:misc_RNA from 1 species
CGCGCGCGGCGUUCGGACGUGUUUUGUUUUUUUUGCUAGGAGGACCCCCCUUUCGAUUUGGGGACUUUAGAAGGGGAAGGAACAUCUGUGCUCGCUGGAGUGGCUCAAGUGGCAUUCGGGUGGGAGAAGGGGAGAAGGUCUCAAGUGGCUUGCAGGCAGAGUUGGGUUUGAACGGUUUUACGAGCCCAGUUGUGUCAGUGUUUGAAGAUCAAUUUUGUUGCACUUUUUUUCAGUAACGUUUGCGGUAAUGUAAUGUCGUCAUCACUCUAGUGGUUCUUGAAGAGCUUGAAGAAGUUCAGUGGCGGAGCCACACGUGUUUGGUGCGGAAUAAAGUCGUGUUAAAAAGUGUGACUUCAACUGAAGAAAAAAAAAAAAAGAUAAAUAUCUCAGAAGACAAGUGAAUAAUUUCGUCAAAACUAAGGAUUACUUGCGAGCUGUUUGGAGUUGUUUUGCACGAAUUGAACCAACAAAACGUCGAUCAUUAGUCAUUGUUGCGCGUGGCUACCACAAGGCAAGCAGACCAGGAGACCUUUGCAGCAGCAGCAGCAGCAGCAGUGCCAGUGAAUAGUGUAGUGAUUUGGGGAGCAAAAAAAAACCGGAGAAGGAGUAUAACGAGAUUUGCCGAGAUUGGGACAAGUGAGUCCCGUUCUAGGUAGACCAAGUGUUUGUAACUUGUUUUCGUGAAGUUCAUGGUGGGUGGAUGUUGGUAGUGCAGUGAUUUUUUAUGACCCAGCUCGCAUCGUGUACAUUGUUGAAUAAGACAAGAAUUCAUAAUUGUGUCCAGCGAAAAACAUUUGGAAUUGUUGUUUUUGGCGCGCAAGCAGAUAAACUUAUGGUUAUGGACAUUAUAUAAUGCACAUUAAUUUGAACCAUGGAACUGCUGGUAUCGCAAAAGUCCGAACCGGGCUCGCACCGCACUUUGGCGGCAGCCGGAAUCGAGAAUCCGGCCGUCACCCUAGAUCUGGACGACACCAGCAGCGUCAUCAGUGACAUCUCGAAGGUGCCCCGAGUUCCCGGCGACGGGGCCCAGGCGGAAGAUGUGAUAGAUCCCGCGACGGUGCGACCACUUUCGAUGGUCAACCCUGGUGGGGAGCUUUUGGAGCGGCUACCAUCGUUGGAUGAGAAGACGAAGCAGAAGUUAAACAACGGAGAUCUCAAGCUGCCAACGAUGGCGGUCACGGCGAGUGGAACGUUUCAGGAAGGCGAAAGUAAUGGACGUGAUGUUAAAGAUGGCACCCGGCACCAGCAACCGAACGGAGUGACCACGCCUGUAAUUACCGAGGACGACAUCGGUAACGGGAAAUGUGGCGUCCUCACGACUCCGACGACCGGCGACGGUGGUGGAGGCGGGGGAGAGGAUGAGGGUGGCGGGGGUGGCACAAAUGGUACCCCGGCCAACAGUUCCACCCUGCCUCCCCUCAGCAGCAGCACCUACUCGGCCUUCAAGCGGGGCAACGUGGUCAAGGGCAUCCUGUGUCCGUCGAUGACCAACUCGUUCCGGGCGCCGUCCCUCGAGCGGUCCUAUCUGACCUACUCCCACCGCCAGCGCCAGAAGUCGCUCAUCCUGGUCAACGUGGUCGACCUGGUGCUCAAGAUCGUGCUGGCCUCGGUCUGGAUUGGGUUCAAUCAUCCUACGCUGAUAAAAGCCCACGAAAUCACGUGGUCGGUAUCGUGCGUCAUCUCGAACUUCCUGAUCUGCGUGCUUGGUAGCUGGCGGCUGUUCGCCAACAACUAUCUGCACUGGGCGGCCGUUUGCACCUGGCUGUUGCUCAACCUGCAGGGCUUCAUCGGCGAGGGGUUGGGCUUCGCCGAGCGAGAGUACCUCAUCUGGUACGUGCUGUUCAUCAUCUUCGUCCCAUACGCGAUGCUUCCUCUGCCGUUGAAGUGGUGCAUGAUCGCCGGAUCAGUUUCGGCCAUUUGCCAUCUGAUCGUGACCACCAUCAACAAAUUUCUGCACGAAACGGACACCACGUGCAUCGUGCGGCAGAUGAUUGCCAACUCGCUGCUGUACUUGGCGAUCAACUUUGCCGGCAUGUACACCAAAUACCUGACCGACCGGGGCCAGCGGUUGGCCUUCAUCGAGACGCACAAGGCGAUGGAGCACAAGCGCGAAUCGGAGAAGGAGUACCAGCGGACGCAGCGGCUGCUCGACUCCAUCCUGCCGAUGUUCGUCAACAACGACAUCCGCAAGGAGAUGUACAAAUCGCCGGAGCAGCAGGCCCAGGUGGACACCCAGUUCAAGAAGCUGUACAUCUACCACAUGGACAACGUAAGCAUUCUGUUCGCUGACAUCAAGGGCUUCACCGAGCUGGCGAGCAAGACGUCGGCCCAGCAGCUGGUCAAGGUGCUGAACGAUCUGUUCGCGCGGUUCGACAAGAUCGCCGAGGAUAAUCACUGCCUGCGGAUCAAGCUGCUGGGCGACUGCUACUACUGCGUGUCGAUGUUCGACAGCCAAAGCUGGAAGAGCCGGCCGGACCAUGCCGUGUGCAGCGUCGAAACGGGCCUGCACAUGAUCAAGGCGAUUAAGGACGUGCGGAUGCAGACCAAUGUGCACGACCUCGACAUGCGCAUCGGCAUUCACAGCGGCUCGGUGAUGUGCGGAGUGCUGGGUGAGAAAAAGUGGCACUUUGAUGUGUGGUCCAACGACGUUAUAACUGCGAACCACAUGGAGUCGGGUGGAGUUCCAGGCCGGGUGCACAUCUCGGAAGCAACUCUUAACUGUUUGAACGACACGUACGAGGUGGAACCGGGCAAUGGCGCGAGCCGGGACAGUCACCUCAAGAUGAUGAACAUCAAUACAUAUCUUAUCAAGCGUACGGAACCGCUGCGGCCACGCAAGAGACUGAUGAACCGGAUGAGCACGUUGCAGUUCGAGAAGGAGGUGAUAAGCAAGAUCAACGAUUCGAAGAAUCGGAAGGACUCCAAAACGCCAAGCGUUGCGUCCAGCGGGACGAACAACAACCAUAUCACGAAACGCAGCUCCAAGUCGACGAUUCACGAGGAUGAAACGACGACGGAUUGGAUUCCGGAGAUUCCGUUCAAGAAUUUGAAUCCCGUUGGGGUCAAUAAUGCCGAGAGCUUCCGAGAUAAGCAGAACUGUGACCACGAGGACACUGUUCAAUCUACCGAGGAGGUCGACGAGAUCAUAGAUCAGAACAUUCAGAUCAACUCGAACAAACAGAUGCGCAUGGAAUAUCUGUACACUUGGACCUUGAAGUUCAAGGACUCUUCCCAGGAGGGUAACUUUUGUCAGCUUCGUGAGGACAUGUUCCGGUCGAACAUGUUGUGCGUGUUUGUGGUGUGGAUUUUCAUAGCACUGUGUCAGGUCGUGAUCAUUCCCAGGUGUACGGUUCUGAUCGUGUCACUUUCGAUCACCACGCUUCUGCUAACCAUCGGCUGUAUCCUCGUGAUGGCCGAAGAGUUUUCUGCGCUGCCGUUGUUUUUGCAGAAAAGUUCGUCCACUCUUGUGCAUGAUCGCAAGCGGCGCACGAUUUUCGUUUGCGUUACAAUCAUUUUGAUGUCGGCGGCUAGCUCGAUGGGACUGAUCAUGUGCGAUUUGAAAGAAUCUACCGUGACUACGGAAACCACAAUCAAAGAACCUUCCAUUGCAUUUUUGCACACGUUUAGUCCGUCGGUACCGAAGCAAGAGAUUCAGCUGAACCUAACCGUAACUGCUACUAUCAAUCAGAACUUGAUCCUAAAUUCGCACAAAGUAGUCAACUUGGAUUUGGAAACGCUUUUGAACGAUCAAAAUAGAUCACUGAAAGACUUGAGCGAGCAAGAGCAACUUCUUUACGGGCUGAAUCCCACGUUCAUAGAAAUCCCUCAAAGCUACAAGACAUCGUCAAGUAAUUUGUCAACGGAAGAGAUUCUGCUAGAGAAGGAGAUUAAACCUCGACCACCGCCACCUCCGGGUCCCCCUGCUCCCCCGGGAUCCCAAACCUGCGUCCAUCCCGAAUACGUUGUCUUCACCUGGGUCCUCUGUCUGAUCUCCCUCGCCACCGCCCUGAAACUGUACUACCUCGUCAAAACCUGCAUGGCCAUCGCCAUGGUCGCCUGUUACUCCAUUCUGAUCCUGCUCGUGUUCAACGACGUCUUCGAAACGUACGACACCGAGUUCAUGCAGGCCAGCGGAAUGCCGCUCGCGGCGCAGAUGAUGAUUCUACUUCUCGUUUUCCUCACCAUGGUCACGUAUCACGCCCGGCUCGUGGAAGUGACCUCCCGGUUGGACUUUAUCUGGAAGGAGCAAGCCGAGAAGGAGCUCUCGAACAUGAAGUCCAACCGGCACCUGAACGACCUCCUCAUCAAAAACAUCCUGCCGGACCACGUGGCAUCCUACUACCUAUCCGAGGAACGGGCCGACGAGCUGUACGCCCAGAUGCACGAGCUUUGCGGCGUCAUGUUCGCUUCGAUACCGAACUUUAAGGACUUUUACUCGGAGGAUAUCGAGAACGGAAAGGCGUGCAUCCGCAUCCUGAACGAGAUCAUCUCGGACUUUGACUCGCUGCUAGAGGAGCCACGGUUCGCGACGGUCGAGAAGAUCAAGACGGUCGGGGCGACGUACAUGGCGGCGUCCAACUUGCGGUACGGGAAUAAGACAAAGGUAGACGAAAAAGACGAACAAGCGGUCUGUGAUUUGGUGGAGUUUGCGCUGGCGAUGCGCCAGAAGCUGCAGGAGGUGAACAAGGACGCGUUCAAUACGUUCCAGCUGCGCGUCGGCAUCAGCAGUGGUCCGCUAGUGAGCGGAGUGAUCGGUGCCCGCAAGCCGGUGUACGACAUCUGGGGUAACACGGUGAACGUGGCCUCCCGGAUGGACAGCACGGGCGAGAACUGGAAGGUCCAAGUUCCGGACUAUACGGCGGCGCUGCUGCAGACCAAGGGGUACACUUGCGUGCAACGGGGCGAGGUCAACGUCAAGGGCAAGGGUCUGAUGCUCACGUACUGGGUGCUAGGCAUGAACGUGUCCGCCAGCCAGCUCACCUCGCCGGCGCUGAUGCCCGCGGGAGUUCCACAGGCGCAGACACCCUCGCUGCAGCGGCAGGUUUCCCAGCACAGCUCGCUGGCGGCGGUCGUGUUCGGCAUGAUGCAAGCGUCCAAGCGGAGCAACCUCAACACAACCCCAAAAUGUGGCUGGAGUCGGGCCAAGAACUUGACCGUUACAAAGAUGCGUUUGCUGGCACCGCCCAACCGGAACGCCCUCGCCGAGAACCCGGUUCGGGCGACGGGGAAGCACAUUCAGCUCAGUGAGAUUGAGUCAGAAAGUGCAGUCUAACAACCCGAUCCGGCGGAACACGACCCGGGUGCGGGGCCGCAGCUACACCAUGAAGAAGCCGACCAUUCCCCACUCGCCGACGGUGCAGUUCCCCCCGGAGCCGCCGGCGGUCCAGAGUGCCCCCGCGGACAGCAAUGUGAUACCAUCCUUCCGACAGCUGCACCAGCACGUCUCCGAGGAACAGACUGGGGUGUGAAUCGU